UACGAAGGGAGCGAGCGUUGUUCGGAAUCACUGGGCGUAAAGCGUGCGUAGGCGGUUAUACAAGUCAGGAGUGAAAUCCCAGAGCUUAACUUUGGAAUUGCUCUUGAAACUGUAUGACUAGAGUCCCGGAGGGGUAGAUGGAAUUCCGAGUGUAGAGGUGAAAUUCGCAGAUAUUCGGAGGAACACCAGUGGCGAAGGCGAUCUACUGGACGGGCACUGACGCUGAGGUACGAAAGCGUGGGGAUCAAACAGG
rnacentral:rRNA from 1 species